rnacentral:rRNA from 1 species
AGGGGGACAACAGUUGGAAACGACUGCUAAUACCGCAUACGAUCUAAUCUCGGCAUCGAGGAUAGAUGAAAGGUGGCCUCUACAUGUAAGCUAUCACUGAAGGAGGGGAUUGCGUCUGAUUAGCUAGUUGGAGGGGUAACGGCCCACCAAGGCGAUGAUCAGUAGCCGGUCUGAGAGGAUGAACGGCCACAUUGGGACUGAGACACGGCCCAG